UACGAAGGGGGCUAGCGUUGCUCGGAAUCACUGGGUGUAAAGCGCACGUAGGCGGACUCUUAAGUCGGUGGUGAAAUCCUGGAGCUCAACUCCAGAACUGCCUUCGAUACUGAGAGUCUCGAGUCCGGGAGAGGUGAGUGGAACUGCGAGUGUAGAGGUGAAAUUCGUAGAUAUUCGCAAGAACACCAGUGGCGAAGGCGGCUCACUGGCCCGGUACUGACGCUGAGGUGCGAAAGCGUGGGGAGCAAACAGG
rnacentral:rRNA from 1 species